AACGAACGCUGGCGGCAUGCCUAACACAUGCAAGUCGAACGGGACCUCCGGGUCUGGUGGCGCUCGCGUGCGUCACGCGUGGGAACCUGCCCUUAGGCUCCGAAUACCUCCCUGACGGGGGUGCUAAUACCGGGUAAUUUACUCGAACACAAGAUAUAACCCCUUUGGUUGGGCCGGCGUUGGUUGAGCUAGCUGGUAGGGUAAAAGCCUACCACGGCGAGGCUACAUAGCUGGGCUGAGAGGAAGCUCAGCCACACUGGGACGGAGACACGGCGCAGACUCUUACGGGAGGCAGCAGUGGGGAAUACUGGACAAUGGGCGAAAGCCAGAACGAGCAAGGCCGGGUGAGUGAUGAAGGCGGGAGGGUUGUAAAGCACGUUUACCCGGGAUGAUAAUGACAGUACCGGAAGAAUAAGCACCGGCUAACUCCGUG
rnacentral:rRNA from 1 species